ensembl:misc_RNA Metazoa_SRP Metazoan signal recognition particle RNA
GCUGGGUGUGGUGGUGCACGCCUGUAAUCCCAGCUACUCGGGAGGCUGAGGUGGGAGGAUCGCUUGAGCCCAGGAGGUGGAGAUUGCAGUGAGCCGAGAUCACACCACUGCACUCCAGCCUGGGCGACACAGCGAGACACUGUCUCAA